ACAACCCUCAGGCCCUGGUGCCUGGUGUUGGGGCACUACAGCAUGCUGUAGGCCCUGAAAUCCAGUGGCGGGACCGCUGUAAACCCGGGCGUAGUAACUUUACGUCGUCCAGGGUGUUCCGGCGCGCCCCAGCCGUUAAACCCACCAUAUUAUCAA
rnacentral:misc_RNA from 1 species